rnacentral:lncRNA from 1 species
GCAUCAUCAGAGACAUGGCAUCAGCUUGGACUUUUGGACAGACUCUCAGCAUAGGCGACACAGAAUAUUCUGGGGGGGGAUAUCUCACUCUAUGAGUGCUCUGUUCGUGUGAGAUCUGCAGCAAGAGCUUUGAGAAUGCCUGAAGUCAUUGCUUCUUGUCAUCUUGAGAGGUUUGUUCUGAUGGUUUGUUGUAGUAGGAGAGUCAAGGGCAGUUAGGAUUCUCCCUAUUUAGAAAGGUAAGUCAGAGGCAAGGAAAGAGAGACAGCUACCCCUGAGGCCAGGAGCUAUCAAGAGGAGAAAUGCAGCCGGCUUGAGGAGGGUCCUGUUGAGCUGAUUACCAUGAGCCGCCCUAAACCAGAACUGAUCAAGCUCUGCUGGCAGCGUCUUUAGAACUUGGGUGGCCCCAUUCAAAGCUGAAAAAAAAAUCAACAAAAGGGCAAGGGUGGGGAGA